UACGUAGGGUGCAAGCGUUAUCCGGAAUUAUUGGGCGUAAAGAGCUCGUAGGCGGUCUGUUGCGUCGGGAGUGAAAACUCAGGGCUUAACCCUGAGCCUGCUUCCGAUACGGGCAGACUAGAGGUAUGCAGGGGAGAACGGAAUUCCUGGUGUAGCGGUGAAAUGCGCAGAUAUCAGGAGGAACACCGGUGGCGAAGGCGGUUCUCUGGGCAUUACCUGACGCUGAGGAGCGAAAGUGUGGGGAGCGAACAGG
rnacentral:rRNA from 1 species